rnacentral:piRNA from 1 species
UCAGCUAACAGGACCUGGGCUGAAGCAAA